ensembl:lncRNA
CGGAGGAGCGGCUCCACGCCGCCCGUGUCUUCAUCUGCUUCCACAAGAACCGUGAUGACAGAGAUGAUUCCGAUUGUUCCUGUAUUUGGAGGAGGAGUUUCUCAUUUGACGGCUCUUGGAAAUCUUAGGUCUCUUAUCUUCGAAAGAUCGGUGUUAAUCUACCCUUCUAGUGCUCUGAAAAAUCUGAAUAAAAGUGAUGACACCUCCAAGACCUGUGUUGGCUCAGUGGUGUUCCCCCGGCCACUGUCCCCACCCGCCACCCCGGACUGGAGGGUGUGGGGCAAGGGGGCGUGCGUGUGUCCUGAGCUGUGUGACCCCCUUCCGCAAGGGGAACCGCCUCACCUCCCUGGCCCCGGCCCGUGCCUGUGGGAUCCGAUGCAAGGCCAGGCCCCGGGGGCUGUGGGCUGCCUCUACCUCACGUUUUCACGGCCCUUCGCAGCAGCCUGGCUGCCCCACCCCAAACCUGGGCCUACUGCUCCUGUGCCUUAUCUGGGAUGGCCACGCUGCCUGCUGGCUGAGUUCCUGCUCGCCCUGAACUGGUUCACUUCUGCUCCUGGUUGAUGUGUGGGGUGUGGCUUGGGCUGCCUGGGACUUGAGGCGCUGAGGUGUGGGGGUGUGUCUGAACUUGGGCCCCACCCUUAGCACCUGUGUGGGCCCCAUGGACACUAGUACCCCUGGGGGAGGGCCUUGCAAGGUUACGCUGGGGCAGGAGCGCUCUGGCGGUGGGGGUCACAGCAGGGAUGCAGGAAGGCAGACAAGAGGGGCCUGCAGAGGGUCCGCUGGGGUGAGGGGGGUGGGUCCUGAAGGCCCAAGAUCGGCAGGGCUGCAGCGCCACCUGCUGGCCACAUCUGGGAGCAUGGCCUAGAGAUUCACCUCCAGGCCUCUGCUGAGAGCCUGGAAAAGGAGGCAUCUUUUAUGGAGCAGGAAAGGUACUUGCAGGGGCUGGAAUAUAUAUUUGGGGCUGGGGUAGGCUGUCCAGUUACCUGAGGAUGGAGCUGGCCUUUAAAGGUCUGAAGGGACAGCUGGACAACACUCCAGUCUGGGGGGAGCGCAAGGAUGGAUGAAGGUCUUUGCAGUUGGGGUGUUGAAGGAUGAAUAGGAGUCUGAAGCAGCCGAGUAGAGGGAGAGUGAUCGAGGGGAAGAAACAGCUCGGGCAAGUUCUGGAGGUCAGAAAGCUCCCCAGGGAGGCAGUGUGGCAGGAAGUGUCGGCCAGAGAGCUGUGGAGCUGCUGGAGGGGCCUUACUGUAUUCUGAGGGUACUAAGGAGCCAUGGGAGAUGCUUGAGCAGGAGAGAAACCUCCAGGUUAGCCAUGACGGGGGAGGGGAAGUGAGGGGGCAUGACUGGAGCCCCAGAGGCAAGGGCAGUGGGGCCCCUCAGGGCCUGUGUGUCCAUUUUUUCAGAGGUGUGAACUGAGACCUUCUCCCUUAGGUUCCCUGACGAGUCUUCCUUGCCAGUUUAUCCCAUCACCCUAUGUGAUUCAACACCUACCGUGUGUUAGGCCUGGUUUCUGCCCUCAGGGAACUCAGCCUGGUGGGUGAGGUGGCCAGAUGGCAGGCCGUGA